CUUGUAGUCUCUCCUAGUGAGCUUGUCAAAAUGCAGAUUCAGAUUCAGCAGGUCUGGAACAUGGCCUAAAAUUCUGCAUUUUUAUCAAGUUCCCAGAUGAUUUCAAG
rnacentral:miRNA from 1 species